UGAUGCAGGCCAUGCCGCGUGUGUGAAGAAGGCCUUCGGGUUGUAAAGCACUUCAGUAGGGAGGAAGGUAGUGUACGUUACACCUGCAUUAUUUGACGUUACCUACAGAAGAAGCACCGGCUAACUCCGUGCCAGCAGCCGCGGUAAUACGGAGGGUGCGAGCGUUAAUCGGAAUUACUGGGCGUAAAGCGCAUGCAGGCGGCCUGUUAAGUCAGAUGUGAAAGCCCCGGGGCUUAACCUCGGAAUUGCAUUUGAAACUAGGCAGGCUAGAGUCUUGUAGAGGGGGGUAGAAUUUCAGGUGUAGCGGUGAAAUGCGUAGAGAUCUGAAGGAAUACCAGUGGCGAAGGCGGCCCCCUCGGACAAAGACUGACGCUCAGAUGCGAAAGCGUGGGGAGCAAACAGGAUUAGAUACCCCUGGUGG
rnacentral:rRNA from 1 species